AGUAAAUAGAUACCCAGGUAGUCCACGCCGUAAACGAUGAGUACUAGGUGUAGGAGGUAUCGACUCCUUCUGUGCCGCAGUUAAACACAAUAAGUACUCCGCCUGGGAAGUACGGUCGCAAGAUUAAAACUCAAAGGAAUUGACGGGGGCCCGCACAAGCAGCGGAGCAUGUGGUUUAAUUCGAAGCAACGCGAAGAACCUUACCUAGACUUGACAUCUCCUGAAUAGUGUAGGGAUACAUGAAGCCCUUCGGGGUCGAGGAAGACAGGUGGUGCAUGGUUGUCGUCAGCUCGUGUCGUGAGAUGUUGGG
rnacentral:rRNA from 1 species